rnacentral:rRNA from 1 species
CGUGUAGGCGGUAUUGUAAGUCAGAUGUAAAAGGCUACGGCUUAACCGUAGAUGGUCAUUUGAAACUGCAGUACUUGAGUGCGAGAGAGGGUAGUGGAAUUCCCAGUGUAGCGGUGAAAUGCGUAGAUAUUGGGAAGAACACCAGUAGCGAAGGCGGCUACCUGGCUCGUAACUGACGCUAAUGCGCGAAAGCGUGGGGAGCGAACAGGAUUAGAUACCCUGGUAGUC